GGGAGACUACAUCUCUACUUCUAACCUCUAAGAAGCACUUUCUCGCUCACUUGGCUUGGUUAGCUUGCUUUUAUGGGCUUACUGGCUUAUUGAAUGGUAGUACUUCCUUUCUUUCUGGUUUGGAAUAGAUCAAAGGUCUUCGGUUUAACGAGAACUGGCUUCUAUCAUUCACCUAUAGGUAUGAGAAGAAAAUUCCUCUCUGCUCACUUGACAAGUUUCCAGAAAGAGCGUCUUUUGAGUCAGAAAGUUCAGCUUGCGUAGAACAAAGAAAGCCAUUGACUACUUCACUAAAAAUGAGUAGAAUCCGCUUCAUAUGCUAAUCCCAAAAGUGUCGUUCCUGCUCACAAUAUCUGUCUUCCUAUGUUUUUGUAAAUUCUCUAUCUUUUU
rnacentral:lncRNA from 1 species